rnacentral:rRNA from 1 species
UUGGAGGGCAAGUCUGGUGCCAGCAGCCGCGGUAAUUCCAGCUCCAAUAGCGUAUAUUAAAGUUGUUGCAGUUAAAAAGCUCGUAGUUGAAUUUCGGGGUCAGUAGGUUGGUCAUGCCACUGGUAUGUACUGGCCUCACUGAUUCCUCCUUCCUGAUGAGCCGUAAUGCCAUUAAUUUGGUGUUGCGAGGAAUCUGGACUGUUACUUUGAAAAAAUUAGAGUGUUUAAAGCGGGCUAACGCUUGAAUACAUUAGCAUGGAAUAAUGAAAUAGGACGUUCGAUCUUAUUUUGUUGGUUUCUAAGAUUGACGUAAUGAUUAAUAGGGAUAGUUGGGGGCAUUAGUAUUCAAUUGUCAGAGGUGAAAUUCUUGGAUUUCUUGAAGACUAACUACUGCGAAAGCAUUUGCCAAGGAUGUUUUCAUUAAUCAAGAACGAAAGUUAGGGGAUCGAAGACGAUCAGAUACCGUCGUAGUCUUAACCAUAAACUAUGCCGACUAGGGAUCGGAUGAUGUUAAUUUUUUAAUGACUCAUUCGGCGCCUUACGGGAAACA